rnacentral:pre_miRNA from 1 species
UCAUAGGGAUGAGCAAAGAAAGUGGUUUUUUAAAGAUGAAAUCUACUCCUGGUGAAGAUGCCAUGAA